rnacentral:lncRNA from 1 species
CCAUUCUGAAGCUAUCAAGGUCAAGGAGGAAUGGGCAAAAAACUAAUAACGAAGGAGGACAGUUGUGUUCAGCGCACCUCAAAUCAGCAGUUCAAGUGAAAGGCAACUUGGUAAGAGAUCAGGUCGGCCUGCAGUCUCAAAGGAGGAAGUGUCAGAAGUGUCAUAGGCACAGCGAGAGACCAGAUGACGAUCAGAUGGCUGUCACCAGAGCCACGCCCAGAGCCAUUUCUCCAACCUGGCAGGUUGUCUCUCCAUCCCCGUGUCUGAGGACAGCAGCACCUGGUUCCGGGUCUCCCUUUCCAGUCUGCUGUCGUCUUCUCUGACCUCAGGUAGGCACCUGCUUCUUCCUUCUGCUGUACCUGUCAAGCAGGUAUGCCUUCCUCUCCCCUCUACUCCCGAUGCUCACAGGUGCUAAGAUUUGGGAUCUUGUCACCCUUUUGUGGCCUCUAGAACGUGGUCUGCACUCUCUGGCUUGGACAUCCGUGCCAGGUUGGUUCUAUCUGCCUGGAAUCCCAAGUUGUAAUUGUUCUCCAAGGCCUUGAAAAUGCUGUUUCCUCCAUGAAGACUUUGUGAUCCAUCUGACAAGAAGCCCUCUCUUCCUCUAAAACGUCAUACCAUUCGAUCUAGACCUGACUCGUGGUGUUUAUUUUCUACCAUGCUUUAUAAUUCUGCUGUCAUGGAUUGAAAUCCUACUAUGAGCUGGAGAUCCUGGGGAUAGAGAUGAACAGGACACAGUACCAACUUGCAGGAAUUUUCAAGACUGGUGGAGGAAACACUCAUUUGAUAUUCAACGUGGACAGGUGGGAGGAGAGGGGGAGGGGCGGCCGCUCAGGGCACUGAGACAGAGUGUGGUGCCAGCGCCUCUGGGGGCUCCUGGAGGGACUGUGGUGCCAGCCGAUCACAUGCUCGGUGACUGCGCAGGGACCCUUCUUUCCUGUCUUUGGGGAAAUUUCUGGAGGAGACACAUGAGGCUUGUUGACAUUUAGGACCGUCACUUAAUAGUUUCUAAGUGGGACCACGGACCACUUGACAGGGAGCUAAGACUGCAGUGAACUUGGGUUUGGGUAGGACUGGGAGCCUGGAGGAGCGGGAAGACUGUUAAGGGAAGUGGCCAAGCUUGCACGUAGGAGUCGUAGUCACAAAGGUGCUGGGUGCUGGCACGACUGCAAUGGUGCCUGGGCCCAGUCUGACUGAGGCACCACCACCCUGGUAACUCGUCUGGAAGUGUAGUCACGCGAACCCCAUGCAUCAGAUGGAUGCUGAGCCUUCCCUGAAGCAGACAGCGCCGCACAGAAUCAGAACGUGGACUUUAUCCUGAAGGCCCUUCCAGUUUUCUGGACACUGCAAACUGGAAUUGCCCGUGGGAAAUAGUA